AAUCAUUUUAUUGACUUGAGUUUUUUGGGAGCAAAUUCUCCACCUUUCCAUUUUCUCCUGGAAAAUCACCCACGUUGUCUAUAAAUAACUUUGUAAUAGAGAUCUUGUACAUCCUAUAGGCUAUCGUCACUGCAUGCUUCAAUAUUUUCGGGUGUCAGUCAAAUCCAACAAUUUUCAUAAAUCUUAGUCAAUAUUUAUUUCCUAGACAUGCAACCAUACAAUACACGUGAUCAACUAAAUAUUGAUGGGGAAAUAUAUGUCAACUGAUCAAUUUUAUUUGAGCAUGUUAGUUUGACAUGUAAGAAUUCCAAAAGACCAAAAUAAUGCAUUGGUUAUUCAUUUGAUUUCAAACUUUGUCGAACAUAUAUUGUAGUGCUAUUCUAAGGAAAUAAAUAGUAAUCAUCAUAGAUGACAUCUCAAUUAACUUACCAUUACUAAAUCAAAUGACAUACAAUUUUUUUGUUAUUUUCCCAUAGACAAUAUGUUUCUAAUUGCCUAAGGUUUCAAUUAACACAUCAAAGAAAGGGAUACAACUUAGAGAGCUUCCAUUGCCUCCCUUCAAACUUCCAUGAAUCUUUAGUAUAUCUACAAGGCAAAUCCGAUCCUUACUGGCUUCCCAAGAUUCUUAGUAACUUAUCCCUUUGUUGAAAUAAUCAAAUCACAUUAGUAUUUCGAUCCAGAGCCAACCUUUUUCCCAAGUUGUAUGCAUUAUCUCUCUCAAGUUGCAAUGUGAUUUGGCUAUUUAUCCCGUGCUAGCCUAUCUCUAAAUAGCAUUAUUACAUGAGUAUUUUACCUUAAAAGGUUUCUCGAUCUCUUUCUCUAUGUUUCUUACAUCCCUCACCCAUCCAAGGAUUCUCACCAUUCAACUCAGAAAAAUCUAAAAACUCGGUUCAUUUUGAGUACAUGUUUAACAUGUCUGUAAAUUUAAAUCUCAAUUUGAAUGGGUAUCUUCUAAAUUGAUAAAACCCUAAAAAACUGGAUUCCUGUUUGUAUUCUGAAAAGAUCUUAAUUCUGUAGAAUCCAAUCUCAAAACACCCCAAAACAUAAGUAAGACUAUGUUUAACACAUUGGAUGGGACCUACUUGUGAUAAUUUUGCACUUUUCUUUGGGUCUAGGUGACUACUACCCUCACCCAAUUUUGUUUCCAUAGUUGUACUCUUUAUCUCAAUCAAUACAAUUUCUUAUUUAUCAAAAAAUAAAAUAAAAUAAUUAAACUACUAAAUCAUUUUCUUGAGUUCAGAAGAAAUAAGAAGCAACAUGUACUUUUAGGACAACAAAUGGUAUCUCAUUUAAUGAGAUGAAGUAGGAAGCUUAAGAAUAUUAAUAUAUACAUUUUAUACUACGUCUAGUCGUCUAGAAUCACUUUUUUUCGGUUGAUGUUUUAGAAGUAAAUAUGUCAGUAAUUUUGGGUCACAAAAAUACAUCCAUUUUCACAAACAUGAAAUUCAGAAAACAAUGAAGGCGUGAUUUAAAAUGAAUUCUAGAAGGAGAAAAACCUUGAUUCAUAGUGAUGCAAUAACUCAAGUACAAACCUGAUUAUAGUAAAUUGAAGCUCAGGGCUGUGAACAAAAUCCUGGCCCAUCUUUUUAAACUACAGCAAGCAAAAGAGAUUCAUAAGGCUGUAAAGAAAGAAAGAUGUCUAGGUGAGCAAAGAUGUCUAGGUGACUACUACCCUCACCCAAUUUUGUUUCCAUCCUUGUACUCUUUAUCUCAUUCAAUACAGAGUUGGUGAGCAAAGAUGUCUAGGUGACUACUACCCUCACCCAAUUUUGUUUCCAUCCUUGUACUCUUUAUCUCAAUCAAUGCAAUUUCUUAUUUAUCAAAAAAUAAAAUAAAAAAAUUAAACUACUAAAUCAUUUUCUUGAGUUCAGAAGAAAUAAGGGGCAACAUGUACUUUUAGGACAACAAAUGAUAUCUCAUUUAAUGAGAUGAAGUAGGGAGCUUAAUAAUAUUAAUAUAUACAUUUUAUACUACGUCUAGUCGUCUAGAAUCACUUUUUUUUCAGUUGAUGUUUUAGAAGUAAAUAUAUCAGUAAUUUUGGGUCACAAAAAUACAUCCAUUUUCACAAACAUGAAAUUCAAAAAACAUUGAAGGCGUGAUUUAAAAUGAAUUCUAGAAGGAGAAAAACCUUGAUUCAUCGUAACUAAGCUUCAAGAAAAAUUAGAGACAACAGAAGAUAGUAUAUAAUAGUGAUGCAAUAACUCAAGUACAAACCUGAUUAUAGUAAAUUGAAGCUCAAGGCUGUGAACAAAAUCCUCACCCAUCUUUUUAAACUACAACAAACAAAAGAGAUUCAUAGGGCUGUAAAGAAAGAAAGAAGUAAUACCCUUCUAUCUUGGCCUCAUGUCCGACUUGUAGGCAUGCGAGCAGGGUUCGAUUGAGACGGUGUAUUAGCAUUUGAAGUUGUAGCUCUUUUAUUUCUAAGCACGUGCAUCCUAUUCUGGCGGUUAAGCCAAAAAUUAGUUAUAUGCAAAUCAAACUCAGUGAAAAAACAUAAUGUAUAGUCUCCUUUAUACUCCCAAAUGGACCCGUAUCAUUAUCCAUAAAGCCAAAAGCAUGGAUAUUUUUUUUUUACUUGAAAUUUACAGUAAGGCUGCCAGCAGACAUUAAUAACAUUCACCCUUGGAGUAUAAGGAAGACUACUAACCAAUACACAUUACUUCAAUUCAACCCCAGUAUUUCUACAUUUUUUUUGUACGAAAGAAGCUCCCAUUAUGAUUCAUAAAACAAACACAAAACUAACGUAAUUUACAUUAAGAUUAUGCGUUGGUGAGCAAAGAUGUCAUUAGGAAGGAAACACCUUAAUGCAAGGUAUGAUCGUAAAGUAAGUCGUGAAAGGAAAAUCUAUAAAUAAAUAAUACUAACCAAAGGCAAAUCACCAUUGCAAUUUCGGAAAACCGAGGUUAUUGAUACGGGGUUUCUUUUUCUUUUUUCCAUGCCGCUUUGUUCAGUAGAGUUUGUUGAUACAGUUUCUUUUUCUUUCUCCCAUGGCGCUCUGUUCAAUAGGUCCUACAUAUAGCAUAUAAAAUUAUUGAUGCACACAUAAACCGAAUAAAACCAAUAGAAAUGAAUUGUACGAAAAAAGAAAAAAAAAAGAAAAUAGAAUGAACUUAUGUAAAAAAAUUGAAUCGAUUACAAAUACCAAGAUUUGUGCCUGCUCUGAUAUCGAUAAAGUAGGCAAAUUAAGAUAUCAUACCAGCGCCGAGGAAAUAGAGAUCUGUAGGUUUCUUUAAGAUUGUGCAAGCUUACGUUGAUUUUACGCGGAUCCGCUAUUCCUAAGCUAAUCCUCUAACUAAUGGUACAUUGCAGGAAUCAUUGAAAUAUUAUAAUACAAUAAUGUUCCUUUCUUACUGUACUUCCAUUUCAAGCUAUACAAUAUGCCCAUAAUCCAUAAGCACCAAAUAUAUAUAAGAAAUAAAAGAAUGAAAAAAUUGGAUGUAGAUUUUGUAAUUUAAAAUGCAUUACGAAAUAAUGGAAAAUCUGAGUUUAGUUGUACAGGAAAAAAAAAACACUUACUUGGAAGUUGGCAGUGGUCUUAGACUACUUCGGCAUGGAAGCUGAUUGCCUCUUUAAAACUAAGGUGACCAAUAUGUUCCUGCAAUAUUGUGAUUCAAGCAUCAAUUAGUGAACCGAAGAAUGUUCCAUUGGUAAAGUAACAUACGAUUGAAAAAAAAAAAAAUUAAGACAGCAAGAAUCAUUUAAUGAUCUAACACUGAAUCAAAACACUUCUUCCUGCUACCCAAAAAAAAAAAAAAAAAAAAAAACUUCUCCUAGUCACAUAUUUUUUUGUAAGGCUCAACCUAUACGUUGUGCUACCAAAAGAUCUUCCACAUCUUUUUUUCAGCAUAUUACAUCCAAAACUGUAGAAGCUUGUAAUACCAACAGUCAUUAAAAUAUUCAUAUAUUGGAUUGGAAUGGAUGUGAAAUAGUUUACUUUCAAUCUAUAAACAUAAAAAAAAAAUGUACUUUUAACAUUGAAAUUAUGCCACAGUAUGUAGAAAUGCUAAGCUAGAUCAUUUAAUGAAAGUAGUUUUAAGGAUUGGAAUUAGAAAAGGGUCAGCAUCUACAUUCAAAUUCGAAAUUAAGAGCACAAUUCACUCACUGAGAAUAAAACCCAAGCCAAAUACAGUACAGCCUACGACGGCUAAGCUAUUGGGAUUUUUUUUUCUUUCAUUCUCAUGAUUAUAAAUAUUUACUGAUAUAAGAAAAGAUAAGAAAAAAAUAACACAAUAAUAAUGUGGCCGGUUGUAGAAGAGGUUAGUGGUUACCUGCAUAAUUAACAUUCCUCAUUGACAACAAUUUCUAUCCACAUAGUAUGUAACACACAACCAUUCAUUUGUAAGGCUCAACCUAUAUGCUUGUGAUUGGUAGUGGUGAAAUAUAAGCAGUGAAUAUAUGAAUCAUAGCUUGCAAAGAAGACAUAAAUCCCACCAAUAGAAAUGAAUCAGAUCAAUAUGAGAAACACUUAAUCACAAUAAGUAAUCAAUUGCGGAUUGACUUUCAGGUUUAUACCAAUCAAGAAUGAAAACCUAACACUGAAUCAAAACACCACUCCCGAUCAAAGUAAAACGAUUCACCAUUAAUUUCGAAUACAUGAGUUCUGAAUCGUCAAAAAAAUAAAUAAAUAAAUAAAUAAACAUUAACCCAACAAUUGUUCAGGGGAGAAGAUAAAACUAACCUGUGGUAAUGGAGGCGAGGAGUUACAAAAUGGGCGAGGAGUUACAAAAUGGUUAAAGUAAGAAACAGAUGGAAAUUAAGAAGAAAGGGGAAGAUGGUAUGUGACAGGAAGGAGUGUAACUGAAGAAGAAGAAGCGGUAAGAAGAGAAGCCG
rnacentral:lncRNA from 1 species